CUUCCACUUUCUUCUCCACCAUCCGUAAAUCUUGCCAUCAACUUCAUAUCUUCAACUACCUUUCUUAUAAAAGAUAUGAAAACAAAUCGCAGUAAAAGAAAUCCAGUUUAGUUUUACCACAGGUAUUGCUCUAGCUAUGAGCAAGAUGAAGCUUGCUUUCACUCCUAUUGCUCAGUUACAGGCAGUUACUGAAAACGAAAUCUGGAAAAUUAAGGUUCGAGUUGCCCGUAUGUGGAGAUUUCAGAACGGCGAUAAGACCGGAGAUGUUGGUGGAGUCGAUUUAAUACUUGUGGAUGAUAAGGGAGAUCGUAUACAAGCUUGCAUUAGAGGAAAAUUGAUACCCAAGUUCGAAAAUGAUUUGGGAGAAGGAGAGUGUUGUAUUCUGAUGAAUGUUAAGUUGUCUCCUAAUCUCGGGAAUUACUGAGGAACUGGACAUCCUUUCAAGAUAUUUUUCACUUGGUCAACAUACCUUAAGAAGAAUUGCGAGGAGAUUCCAAACGAUUCACUUCGUUUUGAUUGUGUAUCUUUUGAUGAUCUGCUUUCUCAGAAUUGUGAUGAAAAGGUGUUUGUAGAUGUAAUUGGAGAAAUUGUUGGACCUUGCAAUCUCAAAGAAAUUACUGUUCGUAAUGCUCCAUGUAAAAUAUUGAAUCUUCCAAC